rnacentral:misc_RNA from 1 species
UUGUGGUUGGUACAGACUGUGU